rnacentral:rRNA from 1 species
UGUGUGUGUGGAAAAUUGUUCAGUCUCUUGGUGACAGCGGAGGGAUCAUUACCGGAUUUCAAACUCCAAACCCCGUGGAAAAACCUUUAUUUUGCCCCGGGAGCCAGCCGCCCCCUUGUAAACGGGCGCGCCCCCCCGAGAGACCAACACUCUAUCCCUAAGGAUCCCCUGGGAAACACAACCAAAUAAUCCAAACCUUCACAAACGGAUCCUUGGUUCUGGCAUCGAUGAAGACGCAGCAAAUGCGAUAAGUAAUGUGAAUGCAGAAUCAGUGAUCAUCGAAUCUUGAACGCACAUGGCCGCCAGUAUCUGCGGCAUGCUGUCGAGCGUCAUUUCAACCCUCAAACCCCGGGUUUGGUGUGGGAUCGGCGAAGCGUCUGCCUGGCAGACAGCCCGCCCCGAAAUCUAGUGGCGGUCUCGCUGUAGGCUUCAUUGCGUAGUAGCUAACACCUCGCAACUGGACAGCGAGCGCGGCCAAGCCGUUAAACCUCAACUUCUGAAUGUGACCUCGGAUCAGGUAGGAAUACGCGCUGACUAG